GACGAACGCUGGCGGCGUGCUUAACACAUGCAAGUCGAGCGGAAAGGCCACUUCGGUGGUACUCGAGCGGCGAACGGGUGAGUAACACGUGAGUAAUCUGCCCUUCACUCUGGGAUAGCCACCGGAAACGGUGAUUAAUAUCGGAUACGACCAUUCCCCGCAUGGGGUGGUGGUGGAAACUUUUUUGGGUGGGGAUGUGCUCGCGGCCUAUCAGCUUGUUGGUGGGGUAAUGGCCUACCAAGGCUUCGACGGGUAGCCGGCCUGAGAGGGUGACCGGCCACACGGGGACUGAGACACGGCCCAGACUCCUACGGGAGGCAGCAGUGGGGAAUAUUGGACAAUGGGCGGAAGCCUGAUCCAGCAACGCCGCGUGAGGGAUGACGGCCUUCGGGUUGUAAACCUCUUUCAGCACCGACGAAGCGCAAGUGACGGUAGGUGCAGAAGAAGGACCGGCCAACUACGUGCCAGCCGCCGCAGUAAGAC
rnacentral:rRNA from 1 species